rnacentral:piRNA from 1 species
UAGCAGCAAUGGACCAGCGGAGAGCAGCGC